rnacentral:tRNA from 1 species
AACUAUUUGGCCGAAAGGAAAGCAAAUGUUUUGAAAACAUCUUACACAGGUUCGAAUCCUCUAAUAGUUU